GGUUUUGUGGCAGAAGGCUUUCGAAAUACAUGCUAAUGAAACUAUUGAUCUUCUGAAAUCAAUCAUAACUCCUCUCAUGGGUUUCAUGAUAGUAUUUGGACCAAUCCUGCAAUCCUUGUCAGAUAUACAAUGGUCAUCUUAAUAUCUCUAUACAGGUUAUAGUAGAAGAAACAUGGAUCAAUUUUCUUCACUCCUUAGUUACCUUUUGUUAGCUUUCAGAAUGAGAACCUUGUUUGCCAUUGUGAUGCAGGACGGUUGUACGGAUUGAAAUACAGAGAGAAAGAAGAGAGGAAGAGGGGAAGAAGAAGGGAAAGAGGAAAAGAGGAGGAGGAAGAAGAAGACCAAUUUUCAUUCAUUAAUUCAUUAAACCCUAAACAUAGGAUGGACCCAUAUAUAUAGGGUCACAAAAUAACAAAUAACCCCUACAAAUAAAAUAAUUCCAAAAAGCUCCUAAAAUGACAAUAUGCAAAUAAACCCAAAUGACAAUAUGCAA
rnacentral:lncRNA from 1 species